GGGGUAAUAGUAGUAGAUGCAGGCAGGAGUCAGUCUACUUGUCACUGACGUGAUGCCUAUAUACAUGAUCAUGCCUAGAUAUUCUCAUAAUUAUUCGCUUUUCUAUCAAUUGCUCGACAAUAAUUUGUUCACCCACCGUAAUACUUAUGCUACCUUGAGAGAAGCCACUAGUGAAACCUAUGGCCCCCGGGUCUAUUCUCCAUUAUAUUAAUCGUCUGUUAACAAGCUAUUUCUAUUUCCUUUUAUUUUGCAAUCUUUACUUUCAACCACUAUCAUAAAAAUACCAAAAAAUAUUAUCUUAUCAUCUCUAUCAGAUCUCACUCUCGUAAGUGACCGUGAAGGGAUUGACAACCCCUUUAUCGCGUUGGUUGUGAGGUUCUCAUUUGUUUGUGUAGGUACGAGGGACUUGCGUGUGGCCUCCUACUGGAUUGAUACCUUGGUUCUCAAAAACUGAGGGAAAUACUUACGCUACUUUGCUGCAUCACCCUUUCCUCUUCAAGGGAAAACCAACGCAAUGCUCAAGAGGUAGCAAGAAGGAUUUCUGGCGCCGUCGCCGGGGAGUCUACGCACAAGUCAAGACAUACCAAGUACCCAUCACAAAAUCUUAUCCCUCGCAUUACAUUAUUUGCCAUUUGCCUCUCGUUUUCCUCUCCCCCACUUCACCUUUGCCAUUUUAUUCGCCCCUCUUCCGUUCGUCCUUUUGUUUGCUUGUGUUACCAUGUGCCUUCUAUUUGCUUGCAUCUUCGCUUGCUAAAAAUAUAUUGAUAUGGAUCCUCAUCCUCUUGCUAAUCUUUUUAAAAGAUCCAAUUAUGAUGAACCAAUUUCUAGUGAGUUGAGUGCACUAGAUUAUCUUUAUGAGGUUUUGCUUGAAAUUCAUGAAUCUGAAAAUUGUGAUGAAGUGCUUUAUGAAGUGAUUCACGAUAGAUCUUUGAAUAAAAAGCAUGAUUGCAAUGGUGUUAUUAUAAAUUCUAUUAACGUCAAUUGUGCUAAUAAUAUGCAAAACCCUAAGCUUGGGGAUACUAGUUUUUCUAUGUUCACUACUUGUUGCAAUGAUCAUGAUUGGGGUGAUUCUUCUUUUGAUCUUGAAAAUUUAUUUAAGCCCCAUGAUGAAUAUGAGAUUGAUAAUAGUGUUUGCAAUAUUAUUGAAAGUGGGUUUGGAAGAGUGCCAAACAUUAGAUCCCACAUAUUUGGAGAAUGUUCAAUCUUAUGAAAUUUUUGAUAAAAGUGGGUUUGGAGAGGUCAUGACUUUAGUUAAUGUUAAUCCCGCUAUUUUGGAAGAGUGUCAACUUUGCAUGCAUGUGGAUCGUGUUGAAAAUAUUUUAUGUGAUAGCUAUUUUGUUGGAUUUUCUUAUGAUCCCACAUGUAAUUAUUAUGAGAGAGGAAAAUAUGAUUGUAGAAAUUUUCAUGUUACUAAAUUACCUCUCGUUAUGUUGAGAUUGCUAUUGUUUCUUUCUGCUUCCUUGCAUAUGCUAGUUUUUGCUUGCUAUGAUAAUUUGUUUGCCUAUAAGAUGCCUAUGCAUAGCAAGUAUGUUAGACUUAGAUGUGUUUGUCACGUGUUUUAUGAUGCUCUCUUUUGUGCUUCAAUUCUUGUCUUUCAUGUGAGCAUCAUUGAAAUUAUCAAUGCCUAGCUAGGGGCGUUAAAUGAUAGCGCUUGUUCAGAGGCAACCCAAUUGUAUUUUUGUUUCUUGAUUUUGAUUCUUUUUAGUAAUAAAUAAUUCAUCUAGACUCUGUUUAGAUGUGGUUUUAUGCUUUUAAUUAGUGUUUGUGCCAAGUAGAACCUUUGGGAACACUUGGGGAAAGUCUUUGCGAUCUUGCUGUAAAAAACAGAAACUUUAGCGCUCACGAGAUUUGCUGCCAUUUUUUAAUGGAGAGUGCUAUUUAGUUAAUUAUUUUUUCAGAUGAUUAAUAGAUAAAUUCCUCACGUCCAGCAAUUUAUUUUAGAAUUUUUGGGGUUCCAGAAGUAUUCUAAACCUACAUAUUACUACAGAAUGUUCUGUUUUUGACAGAUUCUGUUUUUCGUGUGUUGUUUGCUUAUUUUGGUGAAUCUAUGGCUAGUAAUAGAGUUUAUGAACCAUAGAAAAGUUGGAAUACAGUAGGUUUAACACCAAUAUAAAUAAAGAAUGAGUUCAUUACAGUACCUUGAAGUGGUGGUUUGUUUUCUUUUACUAACGAAGCUCAUGAGAUUUUCUGUUUAAGUUUUGUGUUGUGAAGUUUUCAAGUUUUAGGUAAAGAUUUGAUGGAUUAUGGAACAAGGAGAGGAACGAGCCUAAGAUUGGGGAUGCCCAAGGAAUCCAAAGGUAAAAUCCAAGGACAACCAAAAUCCUAAGCUUGUGGAUGCCCCGGAAGGCAUCCCCUCUUUCGUCUUCGUCCAUCGGUAACUUUACUUGGAGCUAUAUUUUUAUUCACCACAUGAUAUGUGUUUUGCUUGGAGCGUCUUGUAUGAUUUGAGUCUUUGCCUUUUAGUUUACCACAAUCAUACUUGCUGUACACACCUUUUGGGAGAGACACACAUUAAUUGGAAUUUAUUAGAAUACUCUAUGUGCUUCACUUAUAUCUUUUGAGUUGGAUAAUUUUUGCUCUAGUGCUUCGCUUAUAUCUUUUAGAGCACGGCGGUGGUCCUAUUUUAUAGAAAUAAUUGAUCUCUCAUGCUUCACUUAUAUUAUUUUGAGAGUCCUUUAGAACAGCAUGGUAAUUUUCUUUGGUUAUAAAUUUUAAAUACUAAAGAGAAGUUGGAUGCUUGAUAGUUGUUUUGAGAUAUAAAGGUGGUAAUAUUAGAGGUGUGCUAGUUGAGUAAUUGUGAAAUUGAGAAAUACUUGUGUCGAAGUUUGCAAGUCCCGUAGCAUGCAUGUAUGGUAAACGUUGUGUGACAAAUUUGAAGCAUGGGCUAUUCUUUGAUUGCUUUCCUUAUGAGUGGCGGUCGGGGACGAGCGAUGGUCUUUUCCUACCAAUCUAUCCCCCUAGGAGCAUGCGCGUAGUGCUUGGUUUUGAUGACUUGUAGAUUUUUGCAAUAAGUAUGUGAGUUCUUUAUGACUAAUGUUGAGUCCAUGGAUUAUACGCACUCUCACCCUUCCAUCAUUGCUAGCCUCUUCGGUACCGUGCAUUGCCCUUUCUCACCUUGAGAGUUGGUGCAAACUUCGCCGGUGCAUCCAAACCCCAUGAUAUGAUACGCUCUAUCACACAUAAGACUCCUCAUAUCUUCCUCAAAACAGCCACCAUACCUACCUAUUAUGGCAUUUCCAUAGCCAUUCCGAGAUAUAUUGUCAUGCAACUUUCCACCAUUCCAUUUAUUAUGACACGCAUCAUCAUUGUCAUAUUGCUUUGCAUGAUCAUGUAGUUGACAUCGUAUUUGUGGCAAAGCCACCAUGCUUAAUUUUUUCAUACAUGUCACUCUUGAUUCAUCGCAAUCCCGGUACACCAUCGGAGGCAUUCACAUAGAGUCAUAUUUUGUUCUAAGUAUCGAGUUGUAAUUCUUGAGUUGUAAGUAAAUAAAAGUGUGAUGAUCAUCAUUAGAGCAUUGUCCCAUGUGAGGAAAGGAUGAUGGAGACUAUGAUUCCCCCACAAGUCGGGAUGAGACUCCGGACGAAAAAAAGAGGCCAUACAAAAAAGAGAGAAGAAGGCCCAAAUAAAAAAUGAGAGAAAAAGAGAGAAGGGAUAAUGUUACUAUCCUUUUUCCACACUUGUGUUUCAAAGUAGCACCAUGAUCUUCAUGAUAGAGAGUCUCUUAUUUUGUCACUUUCAUAUACUAGUGGGAAUUUUUCAUUAUAGAACUUGGCUUGUAUAUUCCAAUGAUGGGCUUCCUCAAAUGCCCUAGGUCUUCGUGAGCAAGCAAGUUGGAUGCACACCCGCUUAGUUCCUUUGAUGAGCUUUCAUUUAUAGCUCUAGUGCAUACGUUGCAUGGCAAUCCUUACUCCUUGCAUUGACAUCAAUCGGUGGGCAUCUCCAUAGCCCAUUGAUUAGCCGCGUCAAUGUGAGACUUUAUCCCUUUUUGUCUUCUCACACAACCUCAAUCAUUAUAUUCUAUUCCACCCAUAGUGCUAUGUCCAUGGCUCGCGCUCAUAUAUUGCGUAAAAGUUGAAAGAGUUUGAAAAGGCUAAGUAUGAAACAAUUGCUUGCCUUGUCAUCGGGGUUGUGCAUGAUGAGAGCAUUUUGUGUGACGAAAAUGAAGCAUGGCCAAACUAUAUGAUUUUGUAGGGAUAAGCUUUCUUUGGCUAUGGUAUUUUGACAAGACAUAAUUGCUUGGUUAGCAUACUUGGAGUAUUACUAUUUUUAUUGUCAAUAAACUUUUAUCUUGAAUCUUUUGGAUCUGAACAUUCAUGCCACAAUAGAGAAAAUUACAUUGAAGAAUAUGCUAGAAAGCAUUCCACAUCAAAAAUUCUGUUUUUAUCAUUUACCUACUCGAGGACGAGCAGGAAUUAAGCUUGGGGUUGCUUGAUACGUCUCCAACGUAUCUAUAAUUUUUUAUUGUUCCAUGCUAUUAUAUAUUCUAUUUUGGAUGUUUAAUGGGCUUUAUUUUACACUUUUAUAUUAUUUUUGGGACUAACCUAUUAACCCAAGGCCUAGUGCAAAUUGCAGUAUUUUCCUAUCAGUGUUUCGGAGAUAGGGAAUAUCAAACGGAAUCCAAAUAGAAUGAAAGCUUCGGGAGAGUUAUUUUUGGAACAAAUGCGAUCCAGAGGACUUGGAGUUGACGUCAAGAAACAAAUGAGGAGUCCACGAGGCAGGGGGCGCUGACCCUUCUGGUAGCGCCCUCCCCCCUCGUGGUCCCCUCGUGGCUCAACCGACUAACUUCUUCCUCCUAUAUAUACUCAUAUACCCUGAAAACAUCCAGGAGCACCACGAAACCCUAUUUCCACCGCCGCAACCUUCUGUACCCAAGAGAUCCCAUCUUGGGGCCUUUUCCGGAGCUCCGCCAGAGGGGGCAUCGAUCAUGGAGGGCCUCUACACCAACUCCAUGGCCCCUCCGAUGAUGUGUAAGUAGUUUAUUUCAGACCCUCGGGUCCAUAGUUAUUAGCUAGAUGGCUUCUUCUCUCUCUUUGGAUCUCGAUCAAUACAAAGUUCUCCUCGAUCUUCUUGUAGAUCUAUUCGAUGUAACUCUUUUUGCGGUGUGUUUGUCGAGAUCCGAUGAAUUGUGGGUUUAUGAUCAAGUCUAUCUAUGAACAAUAUUUGAUUCUUCUCUGAAAUCUUUUAUGUAUGAUUGGUUAUCUUUCCAAGUCUCUUUGAAUUAUCAGUUUGGUUUGGCAUACUAGAUUCAUCUUUCUUGCAAUGGGAGAAGUGCUUAGCUUUGGGUUCAAUCUUGCGGUGCUAAUCCCAGUGACAGAAAGGGAAACAACACGUAUUGUAUUGUUGCCAUGGAGGAUAAAAAGAUGGGUUUUAUAUCAUAUUGCUUGAGUUUAUCCCUCUACAUCAUGUCAUCUUACCUAAUGUGUUACUCUAUUCUUAUGAACUUAAUACUCUAGAUGCAUGCUGGAUAGCGGUCGAUGUGUGGAGUAAUAGUAGUAGAUGCAGGCAGGAGUUGGUCUACUUGUCACGGACGUGAUGCCUAUAUACAUGAUCAUGCCUAGAUAUUCUCAUAAUUAUUCGCUUUUCUAUCAAUUGCUCGACAGUAAGUUGUUCACCCACCGUAAUACUUAUGCUAUCUUGAGAGAAGCCACUAGUGAAACCUAUGGCCCCCGGGUCUAUUCUCCAUUAUAUUAAUCGUUCGUUAACAAGCUAUUUCUAUUUCCUUUUAUUUUGCAAUCUUUAC
rnacentral:lncRNA from 1 species